rnacentral:miRNA from 1 species
UGAACUGUGGAGAGAAAAGA